GAUGAACGCUGGCGGCGUGCCUAAUACAUGCAAGUCGAGCGAACGGACGAGAAGCUUGCUUUUCUGAUGUUAGCGGCGGACGGGUGAGUAACACGUGGAUAUCCUACCUAUAAGACUGGGAUAACUUCGGGAAACCGGAGCUAAUACCGGAUAAUAUUUUGAACCGCAUGGUUCAAAAGUGAAAGACGGUCUUGCUGUCACUUAUAGAUGGAUCCGCGCUGCAUUAGCUAGUUGGUAAGGUAACGGCUUACCAAGGCAACGAUGCAUAGCCGACCUGAGAGGGUGAUCGGCCACACUGGAACUGAGACACGGUCCAGACUCCUACGGGAGGCAGCAGUAGGGAAUCUUCCGCAAAGGGCGAAAGCCUGACGGAGCAACGCCGCGUGAGUGAUGAAGGUCUUCGGAUCGUAAAACUCUGUUAUUAGGGAAGAACAUAUGUGUAAGUAACUGUGCACAUCUUGACGGUACCUAAUCAGAAAGCCACGGCUAACUACGUG
rnacentral:rRNA from 1 species